rnacentral:rRNA from 1 species
GCGCACGCUGGCGGCAGGCCUCACACAUGCAAGUCGCACGAACUCUUCGGAGUUAGUGGCGGACGGGUGAGUAACACGUGGGAACGUGCCUUUUGGUUCGGAAUAACUCAGGGAAACUUGUGCUAAUACCGAAUGUGCCCUUCGGGGGAAAGAUUUAUCGCCAUUAGAGCGGCCCGCGUCUGAUUAGCUAGUUGGUGAGGUAACGGCUCACCAAGGCGACGAUCAGUAGCUGGUCUGAGAGGAUGACCAGCCACACUGGGACUGAGACACGGCCCAGACUCCUACGGGAGGCAGCAGUGGGGAAUCUUGCGCAAUGGGCGAAAGCCUGACGCAGCCAUGCCGCGUGAAUGAUGAAGGUCUUAGGAUUGUAAAAUUCUUUCACCGGGGACGAUAAUGACGGUACCCGGAGAAGAAGCCCCGGCUAACUUCGUG